CCUCCUGAGGCUCACAUUUCAGCCCAGACCCCGAGCAUGCGGGUCGUGAUGCCCCCAACUCUGUUCCUGCUGCUGUCGGGGGCCCUGGCCGCGCCCCAGACCUGGGCGGGCUCCCACUCCCUGCGGUAUUUCUACACCGCGAUGUCCCGGCGCGGGGAAGCCCGCUUCAUCGCCGUGGGCUACGUGGACGACACGCAGUUCGUGCGGUUCGACAGCGACGCCCCGAAUCCGAGGAUGGAGCCGCGGGCGCCGUGGAUGCAGCUGGUGGGACCCGAGUACUGGGACGAGCAGACGCGGAUCGCGAAGGACAACGCACAGAAUUUCCGAGUGAACCUGCAGACCGCCCUCCGCUACUACAACCAGAGCGAGUCCGGGUCGCACAGCGUCCAGAGAAUGCAUGGCUGUGACAUCGGCCCUGAUAGACGCCUCCUCCGCGGGUACAGUCUGUUGGCCUACGAUGGCGCGGAUUACAUCGCCCUGAACGAGGACCUGCACUCCUGGACCGCAGCGGACACCGCAGCACAGAUCACCCGCCGCAAGUGGGAGGAGGCCGGUGGUGCGGAGCAGGAGAGGAACUACCUGGAGGGCACGUGCGUGGAGUGGCUCGCCAAAUACCUGGACAUGGGGAACGAGACGCUGCUGCGCGCAGAAUCUCCCAACACACGCGUGACCCGCCACCCCAUCUCUGACCGUGAGGUGACCCUGAGGUGCUGGGCCCUGGGCUUCUACCCUGCGGAGAUCACCCUGACCUGGCAGCAUGAUGGGCAGGACCACACCCAGGACGCAGAGCUUGUGGAGACCAGGCCUGCGGGAGAUGGAACCUUCCAGAAGUGGGCGGCUGUGGUGGUGCCUUCUGGAGAGGAGCAGAGAUACACGUGCCAUGUGCAGCACGAGGGGCUGCCCAAGCCCAUCACCCUGAGAUGGGAGCCAUCCUCUCUGCCCUCCAUCCCCAUCCUGGGCAUCGUUGCUGGUGUGGCUGUCCUUGUGGUCACUGUGGUGGUUGGAGCUGUGAUCUGGAGGAAGAAGUUCUCAGGGACCUGAUUCCCAGCAGUGACAGGACACAGAGGAAGGUCCCUGCUCAGGACAGAACCCCAGCAAGUCAGGAGGAAAAGGACCAAGCUACUCUCACGCUGCACGUUAAGUAUUGAGGAAGUGAUCCCUGAAACCUGGGAUAGUGUAGACAGGACCCCAUGGGGAGCUAACCCCCCCCCCACCCCCCCAUAGCUUCUCCUUUAGUCUCAACUCCUGUGACUCUGAUCAUGUCCUGUUUGUUCUACCCCAGGCGACGACAGUACCCAGGGCUCUGAUUCGUCUCUAAUGGUUCCUAAAGUGUGAGACCCACUGCCUGUGGUGGACUGAGCGAUGCAGGAUCUGUUCACACUCCCACUUGGUGACAUCGAGAUCCCCUGACUUCCUGCAGAUGGUGUCAGAAUGUGUCUGUAUUCCUAUUAGCAUAUUGUGAGGACCCAGGAGACUGGCCCCCUUGCCCACCAUGACCCCUCCCAUACUGAUUUGUGUUCUGUCUCCAUUCCUGUCUUUACUUCAUGUUGGGCUGAGUACUGACGCCUUACUUCCCUACUGAGAAUGAGAAUCCUGAUAAGAAUUUGUGUUUUGUAAUUCUGGGUAUGUGGGAUUGAAGAAUUAACAAAAGACAAUGUUUGCAAAGUUGCAAGAGAAAAUAAAUGAAAGCCAUGAGAACAUUCCA